rnacentral:rRNA from 1 species
GACGAACGCUGGCGGCGUGCUUAACACAUGCAAGUCGAACGGUGAAGCUCCAGCUUGCUGGAGUGGAUCAGUGGCGAACGGGUGAGUAACACGUGAGCAACCUGCCCCUGACUCUGGAAUAAGCGCUGGAAACGGCGUCUAAUACUGGAUACGAGAAGGGUCCGCAUGGGCACUUUCUGGAAAGUUUUUCGGUUGGGGAUGGGCUCGCGGCCUAUCAGCUUGUUGGUGAGGUAAUGGCUCACCAAGGCGACGACGGGUAGCCGGCCUGAGAGGGCGACCGGCCACACUGGGACUGAGACACGGCCCAGACUCCUACGGGAGGCAGCAGUGGGAAAUAUUGCACAAUGGGCGAAAGCCUGAUGCAGCGACGCCGCGUGAGGGAUGACGGCCUUCGGGUUGUAAACCUCUUUCAGCAGGGAAGAAGCGAAAGUGACGGUACCUGCAGAAGAAGCACCGGCUAACUACGUG